AGCUUCUCACACCUUUUCCUUCGAAGAUACAAAGAAGCCCAACCUGUUUCUAAAGUCCUGUCAUCAGUUUGAAGCAGAUUCAGAAUGAGGAAGAUGCUUGAGUUCAAGAAGUGGGAAUGGAAAGAAGAACAGAUUAGAAGUUACAAGAGUCGAAGGAAAUUCUGUCACAUCUUUGUCUUCGAGCAGAAGGCUAUCAAACAAAGCUGCCCAACCUUACACUCAUCCAUCAUCCUUGAGUUAUUAAGAAAAUAGCUGCAGAACAUUUACAAGUGGAUGGGAUGGAUUGCUGGCUGCUUUUCAAGAACACAGUCAAUGCUACAAAAACUUUGCAAGAUGGCAAAUGUUCUCAUGUUUCCUGUUCCUUGCUCUGCUACGACCUGCUAGAAGGAAUGGUUUCUUGAAUUUUGGGGUGACUAAUCUAGGUUGAUGCUAAAACUGUUAAUCGUUUGUGUCUAAUACCAGAGUAUAAUUUUAUCUGAGUAAAA